UAAAAACCCCGACUUCGGAAGGGGUGUAUUUAUUAGAUACAAAACCAAUGCCCUUCGGGGCUCUUUGGUGAUUCAUGAUAACUAUACGAAUCGCACGGCCUUGCGCCGGCGAUGGUUCAUUCAAAUUUCUUCCCUAUCAACUUUCGAUGUUUGGGUAUUGGCCAAACAUGGUUGCAACGGGUAACGGAGGGUUAGGGCUCGACCCCGGAGAAGGAGCCUGAGAAACGGCUACUACAUCCAAGGAAGGCGGCAGGCGCGCAAAUUACCCAAUCCCGACUCGGGGAGGUAGUGACAAUAAAUACUGAUACAGGGCCCUUUCAGGCCUUGUAAUUGGAAUGAGUACAAUUUAAAUCCCUUAACGAGGAACAAUUGGAGGGCAAGUCUGGUGCCAGCAGCCGCGGUAAUUCCAGCUCCAAUAGCGUAUAUUAAAGUUGUUGUGGUUAAAAAGCUCGUAGUUGAACCUUGGGCCUGGCUGGCCGGUCCGCCUCACCGCGUGCACUGGUCCGGCCGGGCCUUUCCCUCUGUGGAACCCCAUACCCUUCACUGGGCGUGGCGGGGAAACAGGACAUUUAAUUU
rnacentral:rRNA from 1 species